rnacentral:rRNA from 1 species
UACAGAGGCUGCAAGCGUUAAUCGGAUUUACUGGGCGUAAAGCGUGUGUAGGUGGUUCGACAAGUCGGUUGUGAAAUCCCCGGGCUCAACCUGGGAAUUGCUUCCGAGACUGUCGGACUAGAGAUCGGUAGAGGGCGGUGGAAUUUCCGGUGUAGCGGUGAAAUGCGUAGAUAUCGGAAGGAACACCAAUGGCGAAGGCAGCCGCCUGGGCCUGAUCUGACACUGAGACACGAAAGCGUGGGGAUCAAACAGG